rnacentral:misc_RNA from 1 species
GCAAAUGAUUGCCAUUACUUAAAGCAGUUUCUAGCAAAUUGGUCCUUGUUUUUAGCAUAGCAUAUGGUGAUAGCUUGAUUGAAAAUUUGAAAGGUCGGUUGAAGUUCUUAUUUCGAAAUUUCAUUUUUGAGUUAUUGUAUAUGGUAUUGGUUGGCAAAAUAGUGGAUUCUAUCCCCAUCCCCAUUGGCAUUUGGAAUUGUUGAAUCCUUGUAGUUCAUGUGUUUCCUACUUAUAUUACACAUUAUCAAUUACUUAUGCUACAAUAGAGUGACAGACAAAAAAAAUAGUUAGCUUUGCCUUUUCAUGUCUUUUAGCACCAUUUGCCUAUAUCUGCAACUGAGAAUAUGGCAUAAAAUGUGUUGCUUAGAGCUAUAUAUCAUGUGUAAUAUGUGUUGGCAACAAGAAGUAAAGAACAAAAAUAUAAACAGAAAAUAAUGGAUUGAGAUUCUGAAGAACAAUUUGAUGUUGACACCUGACAGUGGCUUGCAGAAAUCUCAUUGUGCCAUCAAUCAUAGCCCAUAAAGACUUUCCUUGCCUCCCCAUCAAACCAUAGGUCUCCUUAAGCCACCAUAUCCACUGCAAGAAAGAAAAUCAUAUAGAUAAAUAUAAAAAGAAAUACAAAUAAUUAAUUAUGUGUUCAUGCAAAAAAACACUUGAUGAUAAUUGAAACCAGCAUCCUGACAUGAGUAAGUUGUGUUAGGUCUUUCACUUCUAUUUUUUCUCACCUUCCAUAUCUCAUGAAUGAUGGUACUUAUCAGGCUUUAAAUUGAAUAUUAAAUGUCUAUAUUACUUUUGAGAGGUGGAUGAGGCUGACUUGUGAUUUUGCUGUUAU